rnacentral:rRNA from 1 species
UACGGAGGGGGCUAGCGUUGUCCGAAGUUACUGGGCGUAAAGCGCGCGUAGGCGGGUUGGUAAGUCCGCUGUGAAAGCCCACGGCUCAACCGUGGAGGGUCAUUGGAAACUGGGAGACUUGAGUGCAGAAGAGGAAAGUGGAAUUCCAUGUGUAGCGGUGAAAUGCGUAGAGAUAUGGAGGAACACCAGUGGCGAAGGCGACUUUCUGGUCUGUAACUGACACUGAGGCGCGAAAGCGUGGGGAGCAAACAGG